GGUGUGUGUGUGUGGUGGUGUGUGUGUGGUGUGAUGUGUGUGUGAUAUGUGUGUGAUAUGUGUAUGUGUGUGAUAUGUGUAUGUGUGUGAUGUGUGUGGUGGUGUGUGUGUGGUGUGAUGUGUGUGUGGUGUGUGUGAUAUGUGUAUGUGUGUGGUGUGUGUGUGGUGUGUGUGUGAUUGUGUGAUGUGCAUGUGGUGUGCAUGUGUUUGAGGGAGGGCUGUGCAUUUCUGCUCUCAGCUUGGCGCCCAGGAGCCAGCAGGGACUGCUCUCCCCUGGGCCCCACACACGAAGUGGCGCCCCAGCUCCAUGCCUCUCUCCUGCAUUCACACUGCCCCCUCGCAGCCCUCCCAAAGGGCCGCCAGGCACAGGGCCGUGGGCAUGCUGGUGACCAGGCACAACUUCUCCAGCCUGGAGCCUUCCCGUCCUUGGCGCCGUCCUGCACCCGCAGUCUGUGCCGGGGAGCUCAGCGCCUUGCCACUCCGUGUGUCCAGCAGCCCCGGGCCCGCGAUGCUGGCAUGCUGCUGCUCCACCGUGGUUGUGGUUUGGACAGGACUGCUCAGAGGAUCAGCACAGCAUGCUCUGCCUGCCGCAGAGGGACAGCGACCAGAGAGAGAAGGAACAGCAGCGGCAUCGUGCGUGGGUGCAGCAGUGGAGCCUGCUGGGGUGGAGUUGAAGCUGCUGUCAGGCCCUUUUUGAGCAGCUGACAAGCACCCUCGGUGUAGCGUCCACACCAGCAGAGUAUUUAAGUGGGGACCCGCAACGGGCGGGAAAGGAGAGACCGGUGCUGACGGAGCUUGGGACGCCAACAGAUGUGAGAGCCACGUCUGUGCAUUUCCAGGAGGCCCCAUCGUCUGGAUGUCAGGCAGGGAGGAAGGGAACCUGCCGCGGCAACCCACUGCUGGGCGCAUCCUGUUCUCUGGGUGUGGGACUUCUGACUGGUUCACCUGGGAGGCCAGAGGGCCGUACACACAAGCCCUCCUGACCUUGGCUUUGUUCCCAGCCUUUGAUCAUAGGUUUGCAAACUCCUAGGCUCCCCAGGCACCAUAAACGCAGAGACUGGCCAAUCCUAGGUGGUCCGGGGGACGGCAAUUGGGAGAGAGGGGGCUAAAAAGAAUCCUCUGUGAGCCAGACUCAGUUCCUACGCUCCCCCUUUGUGACUCCAGCUACAGGGGAGGGUUUUGCCCCCUUAAUUUACAUUUUAAUGGUGUAUUUCUCACGAUUUAUGUUCUUGAAUUUUCACCAUAAAACACUUAUCAGAGGUCGUUGGUUGCAAGGAGACUAAAUGCAUGUGUAUUUAUUUUCCAGUCCAGUAAAGUAGGAAGGCAGGCACUUGCUAAACUGCGGCAGAGGUGGGAUACCAAGAAAUUUGGGGUCCUAAGUAAAUAAAGGCUUGGGGGGCUGGGCCAAGCCUGUCCCACCACCCUCUUUCUCUUACUGCUGAACAGCUCCACGUGUUUAAAUCCAUCUCUACAAAUAUUACAGAGGAUUGCUCAUGUCAACAGAGAGGUUUCAGGUGGCCCUAAUAAAAAAGCAGCAAAUGGAUAUAAAAGUCAGUCUUAAAGUGUUACUUGUCGGUAGGCAAAGCAAGGGCGUCUGCAGCACGCCCCACCCGUGCUGGUCUGCCCAGCAGCUGGUGGGCUUUCUUUGUGGGAUUUGGAAGCUUUGCGUUUCUCCUCCAGUCUCUUCCUGAGAACCCAGCAGAGGUUGGAGGGAGGGUGGGAGUGACGUGGUGGCUCGGCACCACAACAAAGAGUUGUUCUAAUUUUAGAGUCUUAAUGGUGCCCGUUGAGGCACACAGAGAAGGGGCGGAGUUCUGGCUGCCUCUGAGCUGAAAGUCUUCCCAAAAUAAAAGGAAGGUCUGGAUGACCCGUGACGUUUCUGGUGCAUGUGUGAGGUCUGUGCGUUUCUUCUUUAUGCAAAAUAUAAGAAACCUUGCAUAUAAAAAAGACAAGGGGGCAGUGCUCUGUGUGCAGUGGGGGAGGGGCCCAGGGCAGAGGAGGACUGCUUCCCAGGGCCGAGAGGCACCCGAGGGCGCCAGGGUGGCAGCAGGAGCUCUUUCCUCCCUCUCUGUCUCUGUCUCUCUCUUUCUCUCUCUCUCUGUCAGAGACUCAUGGACCCCAGGGCCUGAGAUGUCUAUCCCAGUUGUGGAGAUGCCAGUCUGAGGGGCAGGCCUAAGGAUUCAUUUGCUUCUUAGCGUGAAGGGCUGAGAGGACACAGGACCCACCCCUCGUCCAUUAGGGAUGAUGAGGGCAACCGGGGGAGUACUGGGUGCUUCUCCACAGCCAGAUAUUAGAGACCCUGUGAUUAUUUUCUGCUAAAACCAGGGCACACCGCCAGAGAAGCCGAUGGGCUGCUCUAUGUGAGACUCCAUCCAAUUCACUUCCAGGAUGUUUUACCCUUUGGGGCAGAGCCAUCUGCUUCCGUGCAUGGCUUGAAUCCAAUUUACCAACAUUGAUAACUUUUUGUGCCUAUGAUAGGGACAGAUGUCACUGCCAGCCCCUCACGUCGGCAGAGCAGGCACUCCCCAUCCUCUCUGUGUUCACUCUGCGCUGGGGAAGGGGGCUGGACAGUGAGGGAGUGGCUGGGAUGCAGAAGCAGUGCAGAGUGUGCUUCUGGGAAUCACACUGGAAAUCAGGGCAGUUGUGGGGCACAGGGCAAGGGUUACCUUGCCAGCCCUGAAGAGGAGAGGCGGCUGCAGCCCCACCUACACUAGAUGCCUCUCUCUGCCCGUCCUGGGUGUCUCUUUCCGUGCUCCACCCAUGCCCACUGCCUUCCAGAUCACAUUUCCAGGAAGUACUCUGUUCUGGGUGUCAGCAUCACCCAAGCUGGGGGCACCUUGCAAGCCUUCUGGCCAUGGCUUGCUGUCUCUCUGCAGGUGUCCCAGGCCCAGGGCCAGGGGCCAGUCACGCAGUGCCGCAUGUGGGAGCUGCCUCUUCAGCAGGGGGACAGGGUAGAGGGCAUGAGGGGACCCCUGAGCUGCUUCACCUAAUCCAAGUACAAACACCACAGCACCAGUACUUUGGCCAUCAGAGCAUCCUGUGUGAGCUCAGCUGAGCUAGCCCCACCACCCCCCAGCAGCUUUUGGUGGGCAGUGGCAGCGGUCCCUGUGCAGGGCAGGAGCCUGGGGAAGCAAGGGCUGGGUGCUGCUGGUCCCUGGAAGGAGGACUUCUGCCCCAGUGCUUUGUGAAGAGGACAUGAGGGCAAAGUACUCAUUUGCCCCUAGGUAACAUGUGUGCUGGGGUUGGAGGCUGAGGUAAGGGUGCGAAUUCUGCCUGAGGAAAGGCUCAGCCUGGAGUGUAGUCCUGCUGAAGGCCACAGAGACCACACACUCCACCCAGACUCCGGAUAUCCCUCCCCAGCAGGCGGAAGGAGGCCCUGCCGCUGGGAGUGCUGGUGUUGUGUGGAAGGGCUGGGCUUCUGCAGGGCUCCUGGGAGUCCUAAACAUCUCGCAGGGUUUUGACGUUAAUUACUACUGUGAUUGCUUUCUGUGUGUAACUGUUUUCCCCACACUUUAGCCAGCUAAUGUGGAGCUACAGAAGGCCCUCGCCGCUACGCCUCCAGAUGUCCCAGCCCAUGACAAGCAGGAAGGCCGGGUGCUGGGAGACUUCCUGGGGCUGGAUCUGACAUCAUUCCAAGCAGAUGAUAACCUGCCUUCCAGAUUUCCAUACCCACAGCAAGACACCCUGGAGUUAUUUAUAAAUGCGAGCCCUUGGGUGCACUUCUGCCGGGACCAGCACCCUGACGGCCAUGAGAGGGUGGAGACAGCGCACCCCGAGCUCAGGGAGGCAGGAAACUCUGGACCUGGAGGCCGGGCACCAUGAGGGACACGCUGCAGGCCCAGCUGCUGCCGCCUGGGGCGGGACUGCCCUGCAGGCUCCGGGAGAACCCGGAACCAGGCCGGAUCAGCGUGUGUCAAGGGGCGGGGCGUGAGAGAUGAGCUGUUUUUUUCUUCACAGUGUUGGCAGGAACUGCAAAUGAUAGAAAGUCGUUAGGGUCUAACACGCUGCCCUGAAAACACUAUCAUUACUUUCCUAAUGACUAUCUUUCAGCCGGCGGGGCAGGCAGCUGAGGCCGCAGGCUCCCGCAGAGGACUGCGACGUGGGAGGCUGGCAGCCUGUAAUUUGGGGGCGCUGACAGCGCUCUGCCCAGACCCUCGCGCCAGCUCCAGCUCCAGCUCCAGCACAGCAGCCCUGGGUCCCUCCGGCCCCCUGCCCGCAGAGUCCAGGUGUGGCAGAGGCCGCCCAGUACCCCUUCUCCUCCUUUUUUAAAAACAGAGUCUCACGAUGUUUCCCAGGCGGGUCUCCACCUCCUGGGCUCAAGCGAUCCUUCUGCCUCGGCCUCCCAAAGCGCUGGGAUUAAGGGUCGAGCCACCGCGCCCGGCUCACCAUCCCUUCUGGUUCAUUUCCAGUAAGGUCCUGUCCACAGCGUCCUUCCCAGCAUUCCCACCAGGCUGCGGCCCUUGGCCUCCCUCUCCUCCAUUCUCAUUCUCCCCGAAACCGCCAAGCGUGUCCCAAGCACAGGUUCGCCAAGCGCCACCCCGCACUCCACAUUCCCUUCCCCGCGGACUCAGCCUCCGUAGCUCGUGGACGGCCCCUCCUCACGCCAGCCCAGGCUUUUUUAUUUUAAGGUUGUCUUUUAAUGACACAAGCGACAUUGGAGACAAAAGGACACAUCUCUUCCUGACCCAUCUCCAACCCCAGCUGACGGCCGCCCUGCGCCUGGCGUAGACGGCCCGGCCCGGAACGUUCCCUGGGUGGGUUCCGUCCAUCCCGAACCCCUGUCCCCGCGCCGGCUCCGGGGGUGCUCGGGGGGCCGCGUGGGGU